CAGUGAAAGUGUAUUUCAUAUUUAUGUAAAUAUAGGCAAAUGUAUGGUAUUUAUUGGAUGUACGUAGCAAUGCGAGCAACGUGUUAAUAUAACGGUGCAGAAACUAUAUAAAACAACAAAAAAGUCCCCACAAUACCCUACUUGUUUUUACCUUCUUCUUCAUCUAGUGUUUACCACAAUCGGUCGCUGCGAAAAAUGCAAUAAAGAAAGAAGCAAAAAGAAGUGGAAAUCCACAAAAGGGUUUUACAAAAAAAUAUUAGUUCGUCCUUUUGUCAAACACGGCCAUAAAAGGUGUGAAAAAGUUCCAAGUAGAUAGUCUUUUCCAGCAAUAAAGCUAGAAGUGUGUGCAAACUUGAAAGCAUUAAGAUUAAAAGUUGUUUUUAAAGCAAAAAAAUAAAAUACUGGCAACCAUAAACAGAGUGUAUCCUUCUUGUAGAUUUACAAAGUAUAAAUCACGGAAAACACGCGUUACUAUUUUCUCUCUGUGCGAGUGUGAUAAACUGCUGCAUGGAUUAACAUUGAAUAUAUAAUCAUCAAUUCUUGUGAAUAUGACAACUUUCAUUGAAAAUGCAUCGGUCGCGAAACGCCUGAAUGCCAGUCAAGCAUCGAUGAUACUUGUAACACCGCCUCCUAUUGGAUAAUGUACUUGAAUUCUCAGAACAUGCGUCCUAAGCAGCAAGGAGCACGGGAAAGCAAUCGACGUAACAAAAAUGAUCAAGCACAAACCUUAGACGGUAGCAUCUUG